GACGAACGCUGGCGGCGUGCUUAACACAUGCAAGUCGAACGGAAAGGCCCUGCUUUUGUGGGGUGCUCGAGUGGCGAACGGGUGAGUAACACGUGAGUAACCUGCCCUUGACUUUGGGAUAACUUCAGGAAACUGGGGCUAAUACCGGAUAGGAGCUCCUGCUGCAUGGUGGGGGUUGGAAAGUUUCGGCGGUUGGGGAUGGAAUCGCGGCUUAUCAGCUUGUUGGUGGGGUAGUGGCUUACCAAGGCUUUGACGGGUAGCCGGCCUGAGAGGGUGACAGGCCACAUUGGGACGGGAAUACGGCCCAGACUCGUACGGGAGGCAGCGGUGGAGAAUGGUGCACAGUGGGAGGAAGCCUGAUGCAGCAACGCCGCGUGCGGGGUGACGGCCUGCGGGUUGGAAACCGCUUUCGCCUGUGACGAAGCGUGAGUGACGGUAAUGGGUAAAGAAGCACCGGCUAACUACGUG
rnacentral:rRNA from 1 species